GGAUAGGUCAGGUCAGGAUAGGUCAGGAUAGGUCAGGUCAGGAUAGGUCAGGAUAGGUCAGGAAAGGUCAGGUCAGGAUAGGAUAGGUCAGGAUAGGUCUGGACAGGUCAGCAUAGGUCAGGACUGGUCAGGACAGGUUAGGACAGGAUGAGUGCCACCUCAGAGAUGACGUGAUUCCAAACACCAAGCCCACACGUCCUGUACCAGCACUUGGUCUCCAGUACAAAUAACUUUUGGUUUUGUUCAGUACCAGUUCAGUACCAGUUCAGUACCACUUAAAAGGACAUUUCCUGCUCCUUAGUCUCCACCCUGCUAAAAAGGAAGCCGGGGGAAAGAACAAUCUCCCCCAAGGACCAAGGAGGGGUUGACUGACUCACAGACAUUGUGGAGACAAGUGAUUGGUUCCCCAUUACUCACGCCAUCCCUUCACAUGAUUUAGAAUAGGUAAAGACAUAUUCACAUAUGGAAGCAAUGUUGUAGUGCCCCUCCCUCCAUGUUGUAGUGCCCCUCCCUCUAUGUUGUAAUGCCCCUCCCUCCAUGUUGUAGUGCCCCUCCCUCCAUGUUGUAGUGCCCC
ensembl:lncRNA